rnacentral:lncRNA from 1 species
GAACAUGUCAAAGCCAAGCAAACCAUAACUAGCAUUCUAAUGACCUUGCAUUGUUAGAUAAAUGAUAACAUUAUAGGAUGAAGUUCACAAGGGAAAAGGAACAUAUUCCCUUCCUCACUCAGUAAAUUUAUGACAGCAAGGGUCCAGAAACCCUAGGGAACACAAGUCAGUUACACCUUUUGCAUGAGGUCUAUUUAACAAAGCAAAAUGAGCACAGCAGGGAAAUUUUUCUAAAACUUUUUAUUUAUAAGUAAAUAUUGGACACCAAGAUUUAUACAUUAUGUAUGACCUAUACAUACCUUGAGGGCUGUUUCCUGUACUGUGUCUCUCUUUAUGUUGUUAGUUAAAUAAAAAAGUGAACCAUAAAAAUGUCCCAAUAACACAUUUUCUAUCAACUAUCCAGGAAAAUCAAAUUUCUUUACCAUAUAGACACAAAAGUGAUAUUCUUUAAAAGGAAAACCAGAUAAUAGCCUUAAAAAUUGUUUCACAAUGGUUUAUGAUAAAAUCUAAACUCUAUUAGGCUGACAUAACAUGUUUCUUGCUCGUUUCUCUGCCCUUGUCUCUUAGGAUGCUUCUCUCCAUUCUCUGGGCUCCAGGGUUCUGAUUCCUCAAGCGCCUGCAACCUGCCUGGCUUCUUCUGGCUGCAGGACGUGAACACACACCCCUCACUCUUCAUGGUAUGCCUUGCCCAGGGAGGGCUUCCCUGACCAUGCUUCAUAAACUCAGGCCAACCCCCCCCAGUAAUCCAUUCCUUGUCCCAUUUUCCUGCUUAAUCUAUCUCCACAGCAUUUAAACUUUUAAAAUAUAUAUUUAUCUUUAUUGAUGAUAUCUUUUUCCUACUAUAAUUUAAGCUUCAUGGAAGACCCUCUGUUUCAAGGGUCCAGUAGAGGCAGAUAGUACACACUCUAUGAAUAUCUGUUGCACGAGUAAAUAAUUGAGAAAUCAUCAUCAUCAUCAUCAUCAUCUUUUUCCCUUUCUAAAAAGUAGCAUGGAUUGUACCUGUCUAACUUAUGUGUAUGUUUUCAACAUGAGUCAUAGUUCUCAGCAAAAGUGCUCUGUCAAUGUUUGUUAAAGGAAUGAAUUUUUUAAAUGUGAAAAAAAAUGUGUUUUGAGACUUUGCCAAAAAUCAUAGACACAGGAAAUCUUAGCAAUAAACACAUUAGUGAUUAUCACUCUUUACUGAUGGUAAAUAUAAUAUUUUAUGGUUAAAUCGAUUUUAUAAAAGAC